rnacentral:rRNA from 1 species
UACGUCGGAUGUGAAAAUCUAGGGCUCAACCCUAGACCUGCAUCCGAUACGGGCUAGCUUGAGUUUGGUAGGGGAGACUGGAAUUCCUGGUGUAGCGGUGGAAUGCGCAGAUAUCAGGAGGAACACCAAUGGCGAAGGCAGGUCUCUGGGCCAAUACUGACACUGAGGAGCGAAAGUGUGGGGAGCGAACAGGAUUAGAUACCCUGGUAGUCCACACAGUAAACGAUGGGCACUAGUUGUGGGAACCUUCCACGGUUUCUGCGACGCAGCUAACGCAUUAAGUGCCCCGCCUGGGGAGUACGAUCGCAAGAUUAAAACUCAAAGGAAUUGACGGGGCCCCGCACAAGCAGCGGAGCAUGCGGCUUAAUUCGACGCAACGCGAAGAACCUUACCAAGGCUUGACAUAUACAGGAAUAUGGCAGAGAUGUCAUAGCCGCAAGGUCUGUAUACAGGUGGUGCAUGGUUGUCGUCAGCUCGUGUCGUGAGAUGUUGGGUUAAGUCCCGCAACGAGCGCAACCCUCGUUCUGUGUUGCCAGCAUUUAGUUGGGGACUCACAGGAGACUGCCGGGGUCAACUCGGAGGAAGGUGGGGAUGACGUCAAAUCAUCAUGCCCCUUAUGUCUUGGGCUGCACGCAUGCUACAAUGGCUGGUACAAAGGGCUGCAAUACUGCAAAGUGGAGCGAAUCCCAAAAAGCCAGUCUCAGUUCGGAUUGGGGUCUGCA